rnacentral:rRNA from 1 species
GAUGAACGCUAGCUACAGGCUUUAACACAUGCAAGUCGAGGGGCAGCAUGGUCUUAGCUUGCUAAGGCCGAUGGCGACCGGCGCACGGGUGAGUAACACGUAUCCAACCUGCCGUCUACUCUUGGACAGCCUUCUGAAAGGAAGAUUAAUACAAGAUGGCAUCAUGAGUCCGCAUGUUCACAUGAUUAAAGGUAUUCCGGUAGACGAUGGGGAUGCGUUCCAUUAGAUAGUAGGCGGGGUAACGGCCCACCUAGGCGACGAUCAGUAGCCGGACUGAGAGGUUGACCGGCCACAUUGGGACUGAGACACGGCCCAGACUCCUACGGGAGGCAGCAGUGGGGAAUAUUGGGCAAAUGGGCGCAAGCCUGACCCAGCAAACGCCGCGUGAAGGAAGAAGGCUUUCGGGUUGUAAACUUCUUUUGUC